UACGAAGGGUGCAAGCGUUACUCGGAAUUACUGGGCGUAAAGCGUGCGUAGGUGGUUUGUUAAGUCUGUUGUGAAAGCCCCGGGCUCAACCUGGGAAUGGCAAUGGAUACUGGCAAGCUAGAGUGCGGUAGAGGGUAGUGGAAUUCCCGGUGUAGCGGUGAAAUGCGUAGAUAUAGGAAGGAACACCAGUGGCGAAGGCGACCACCUGGACUGAUACUGACACUGAGGUGCGAAAGCGUGGGGAGCAAACAGG
rnacentral:rRNA from 1 species